rnacentral:misc_RNA from 1 species
GCGUUAGACGCGAUGUACAUUCCAUAAAACUUUAUUACAGUGUGUGUGUAAAGACGUAGAACCACAGAAGGAAGACAGGGUCCCCCAGACCAUAGAACUACAGAGGGUGCACAGGUGUGAGUGGAUGUGUAAACAGAGCGUGCACAUGCCCCCUAUGAGGGCCAGCAACAACCCGUUUGACAAUUCAGUAAUGAUCCUUCCGCAGGUUCACCUACGGAAACCUUGUUACGACUUUUACUUCCUCUAAAUGACCAAGA